rnacentral:piRNA from 1 species
AACAGGGAGGAUCGGGUUGGGGGAAAUGU